GUAAAUUUUUAAAAUAUGGAGUGUGAAUUGUUAAUUUGGAAACUUCUUCUUUGAUCUAUUUAUAGAUAGGUUGAAUUUUUUAUUUUUUAUUUUGGUCAAAGAAACUUUUAGAAUGAAGUUUUGAUUCGUUAACAAAACAAAUUUCGUGAAAAAUGUUUUGAAAAACUGACUGCGAGGAAGCUGAUUUCCAAGUUUGAUUAUUUUCUGUACUUGUAGAGGAAUACUUGGAAGCCACUAGUUAAAAACAAAAUGUACUGGUUAAGUUGACUUAUGUUAACAGAACAUUCUAACGCCUAAUUUUUCAUUCUAGUUGGCCUCAGUAAUGGUCAGAUUUUGAUGCAUCUAUUAAUCAGCUUUUGGCUUUCCAUUUGUGUUGAGACAAGAUGUGUGAAAUCUCAUGAAAGCUCGCCAUCGCUAUAAGAUAGGCUUUUGAGAAUUUGAUCGGUUGUGCUUGAUAGCUGUGCUUGACAUUGACAUGAGACUCACCUGUUAUUUGACUAUUUAUUUACCUGAGGUUGUCAAAUGAUGGCUCAUGGCCGUGUCUUUGAGCUCUCUCUCUUUUACCUAUAUGUUGUUCCAUAUUAGAAGAACACUUGCAAUUCUCUGCUGAAGGUGCAAUAAUUCUAAGCUUGAAGUUGAAUAAUGAUAGUCUUUCGCUAUUCCAUCUUGUUUGAUUCGAGAUAUUUGAAAAACUAUGUUAAACAAAUGUUUUUGACGUACGACUUGAUUUUGGCUAAAGCAGCAUGAGUUUUUGACUAAAGCGGCUAUCAUAACUACAUUCUUGGAGACAAUAGAGGAAACAAAUCUUGGUAUUUGAUGGAGAGGAAGAAAGGGAGGAAAGCCUCAAUGCUUGCAUGCAGCUCGCUAUGGAAGAUGAGAAUUGGUGUACGAUGAAUUGCUUCCCUGAGUUCCAAUGGAGUUGAAGGUGUCAAAUAGCUAAAGUUUGAUUCUUGCCCUCGCCAUCUGAUAUUUCCAUGAUUCGUCAAGAAGAUGUAGAUUUUUGAAUCAGAGAAACAUUCAAAGAUGUGUUGAGGAAACCAUAUUGAAGUAAAUAGUAAAUCCCCUGAAGAUAAUCAACUAGCAUCAACAUCAUCUUCUUCAAGCACCGUAGGCCCAAUGCGGGUAAAGGAUGAAUCUAUAAAGCAUUUCCUCAUCCGGGCUGUGAUGGACAAAGCUGGAGGUUGUGCCAGGCAAGCUAGCCAUGGUUCUGCUCAAAGUGCAUUUUUGUUUGUGUGCAUAUUGUUGCUCUUGAUGCUAUUGUAGGGGAUUCAUAUGGGGUUGCAUCAUGGCAGUUGGAACUACGAAUUACAAAAUUUGAAGAGAAGCUUAGCAGUCUAAGGGCCUAAUGAUUGUAUUGUAUCACUAUGUUAUCACGUCUGUAUGAAAGCCCUCCAUUUAUUUGACAAAA